CACGUAGGGGGCGAGCGUUGUCCGGAUUUAUUGGGCGUAAAGAGCUCGUAGGCGGCUCAGUAAGUCAGGUGUGAAAACUCCAGGCUCAACCUGGAGACGCCACCUGAUACUGCUGUGGCUAGAGUCCGGUAGGGGAGCAUGGAAUUCCUGGUGUAGCGGUGAAAUGCGCAGAUAUCGGGAAGAACACCCGUGGCGAAGGCGGCUCUCUGGGACGGUACUGACGCUGAGACGCGAAAGCGUGGGGAGCGAACAGG
rnacentral:rRNA from 1 species